rnacentral:rRNA from 1 species
AGAGUUUGAUCAUGGCUCAGAACGAACGCUGGCGGCAGGCUUAACACAUGCAAGUCGAACGCCCCGCAAGGGGAGUGGCAGACGGGUGAGUAACGCGUGGGAACGUGCCCUUCGGUUCGGAAUAACUCAGGGAAACUUGAGCUAAUACCGGAUACGUGCGAGAGCAGAAAGAUUUAUCGCCGAAGGAUCGGCCCGCGUCCGAUUAGCUAGUUGGUGAGGUAACGGCUCACCAAGGCGACGAUCGGUAGCUGGUCUGAGAGGAUGAUCAGCCACAUUGGGACUGAGACACGGCCCAAACUCCUACGGGAGGCAGCAGUGGGGAAUAUUGGACAAUGGGCGCAAGCCUGAUCCAGCCAUGCCGCGUGAGUGAUGAAGGCCUUAGGGUUGUAAAGCUCUUUCGCCAGGGACGAUAAUGACGGUACCUGGACAAGAAGCCCCGGCUAACUUCGUGCCAGCAGCCGCGGUAAUACGAAGGGGGCUAGCGUUGUU